CCGGCGCACGGGUGCGUAACGCGUAUACAAUUUGCCUUGUACUGGAGGAUAGCCCUAAGAAAUUGGGAUUAAUACUCCAUAGUAUUAUCAAUUCGCAUGUUUUGAUAAUUAAAGCUUCGGUGGUACAAGAUGAGUAUGCGUCCUAUUAGCUAGUUGGUGAGGUAACGGCUCACCAAGGCAACGAUAGGUAGGGGGCCUGAGAGGGUUAUCCCCCACACUGGUACUGAGACACGGACCAG
rnacentral:rRNA from 1 species